AACGAACGCUGGCGGCAUGCCUAACACAUGCAAGUCGAACGGGAUCCUAGCUUGCUAGGUGAGAGUGGCGGACGGGUGAGUAACACGUGGGAAUCUGCCUUUUGGUUCGGGAUAACCGCGGGAAACUGCGGCUAAUGCCGAAUGCCCUCGUGAGAGGAAAGAUUUAUCGCCAGAAGAGGAGCCCGCGUCCGAUUAGGUAGUUGGUGGGGUAAAGGCCUACCAAGCCGACGAUCGGUAGCUGGUCUGAGAGGAUGAUCAGCCACACUGGGACUGAGAUACGGCCCAGACUCCUACGGGAGGCAGCAGUGGGGAAUAUUGGACAAUGGGGGCAACCCUGAUCCAGCAAUGCCGCGUGAGUGAAGAAGGCC
rnacentral:rRNA from 1 species